GACGAACGCUGGCGGCGUGCUUAACACAUGCAAGUCGAACGGAAAGGCCCUGCUUUUGUGGGGUGCUCGAGUGGCGAACGGGUGAGUAACACGUGAGUAACCUGCCCCUGACUUUGGGAUAACUUCAGGAAACUGGGGCUAAUACCGGAUAGGAGCUCCUGCUGCAUGGUGGGGGUUGGAAAGUUUCGGCGGUUGGGGAUGGACUCGCGGCUUAUCAGCUUGUUGGUGGGGUAGUGGCUUACCAAGGCUUUGACGGGUAGCCGGCCUGAGAGGGUGACCGGCCACAUUGGGACUGAGAUACGGCCCAGACUCCUACGGGAGGCAGCAGUGGGGAAUAUUGCACAAUGGGCGGAAGCCUGAUGAAGCAACGCCGCGUGCGGGAUGCCGGCCUUCGGGUUGUAAACCGCUUUCGCCUGUGACGAAGCGUGAGUGACGGUAAUGGGUAAAGAAGCACCGGCUAACUACGUG
rnacentral:rRNA from 1 species